rfam:Aliifodinibius roseus strain DSM 21986 genome assembly, contig: Ga0134108_118
GCCCGAGUGGCGGAAUUGGUAGACGCGCCGGAUUCAAAAUCCGGUGGCCAUUGCGGUCGUGGGGGUUCGAGUCCCCCCUCGGGUA